GCAAGACUGCAUCUCUAAACAACAACAGAAAGAUGGCUCUUGAAGGUCUUGAUGUGAAUAAAAUCAAACAGAAUAAUACAAAAACAGUGAAAUGAGAACUUCCGAGUAAAUGGCUGUGCAGAGCUGCCUGGGGCACAGGCAGGUGAGCAGGAACGAAGCUGCUGUGAGCCAGGCAGGAGUCCAGGUCACCUGUGAAGUUGUGGGACCUGCAGCAAAGCACUGCCUUUCCCCAGACUCAGGUCACCCAUCUGCGGAACAAGGUCUCCAAUUUCUCUUUCAAGCCAGAGGCCUACAGUGACUGAGCACUUGCCAGAAUUGCAGCCCUGGGCUCGAUGAAGAAGAGCAUAUUUAAACCACGCAACCGUGUACUCUGAUAUGAACCCAUUGUUCAGACAAGGAAACCAAGGCACAGUACAAUUCAAUAAUUUGUCCAAAGUGAAAAAGAUGCCUCCAGGGAACGACCUACGACAGCAGCCCUCCCAGCUGGCAUUCUGGCUGCCGUGUGCUGUGAUGGGUGCCAGCACCUCUUAGUUGGGGUGAAGAGGAGGGGCCGGCAGCAUAGCAAAGGGGAAAUCCUUCUGGAUCGUCGCCUCUCUCUAACCCUCGCCAUCACCAGCAUCAACCUGCAAGUUGUCACCUUGAGCCAAAGCCAGAAAGAGCCCCACCCUCACUGGGCUGCUCCCUGCUCAGAGCUCCACGCUUCCUGGUAGAGUCCCCUGAAGUUCUCCUGCCCAGAAGUUCCUUCUUUCUGCCCAGGCCUCACUCAGCACCGUCAUCCUAGGAAUACAAUCCCAGGAAUAAACUCAUCAUUCCAGGCCUUCCCAGGAACUUGGGUUCUGGUCUUGUCUCUGGCCCGCCCUCUCGUGCAGCUGCUGGGGGCCUCCAGCCCCUGCUCACUCACCCACGCCCUCUGCACCCUCCACUUGAGAGAAUUCUGGUCAUUCCCUUGGCCCUGCCCGGCCCCGUUGUCUGGGAGUUGCUGGAGGGGUGGCUCGUCCCCUCGCCCUCUCCCUGUCUCUUGGUGUGUCCGGCCAGGGCUCACACAGAGGCAGCUCCAGGGAAAUUCCUGUGGCUCAACUGCUGGGUCCUGCAUUGCCACCACAGUCACAGCCAGCUUGAGCGGUGACGGGUGGGAAGAAGUGAGGCAGGGGAGCUGACUCGCAGGAGGGGCUUUCAGGAAAGAGGCAUCCUACAACCCCAGGGCACCAUGGGGGUGCCCCUCAGAGGCUUGAAAGCCCCUUUGGUCCUGGGCAGCACCUCCAGAGGGAGCACAGCCAGCAGUUUGGGGUGGACCUGCCGAGAUCUUGUCUUCUGCAUAAACAGGCACACAGUGUGGGCUUCCCUGCCAGUCGCACCUUGAUUGGUGGUUUUCCUGCGUCCCCUCUAUAGCAGAGGCUUGGUCAUCUUAACCACUGACAUCUCUUACAUUCUCUAACUGGCCUCUGAUUGGAAGACAGGGCUCUCCUGUCACAAUCAUCAUUACUUUGUUUUACCUUCGAUGUUGCACUGGACAUCUUUGUAUGGUGACUUCUCUCUGUGUGAGUAUUUCCACAACAUAGACCUCUAGAGGUGGAAGUGCCAGGUAAGUUCUGGGAGAUUCCACCAAAUUGCCUUCCAAACCCCUGUGCCAGAUGCGCUGAUGGGAGUGUGCCUGUUCCUUGCAUCCCCUCCCUGGCUGCCAUUACCAAGGGGGCUGUCUCCGCUGGGCUCUAAGCACACGUGUUGCCAUUGCUGUUUAAUUUUCAUCGUCUUAAUGGUGGUGAGGCCAAGCAAACACGCCCUGGCCAUGGUGUGUCCUGUGGAUGCCUGUGUUUUUCUCUGCCCAUUUUUGUCUCCUGUCGAUCACCUUCCACCACCAAGUCCUUCUGAAACGGCUUUGUCCUGUGUGUGGAGAGAAGUGCAUGGGGUUGGCCUGGGGCUGCCCACGAUGAUGCUGCCUUGGUCCUAGAGAGAAGCACGUGGGGUUGGCCCGGGGCUGCCCACGACGGUGCUGCCUUGGUCCUGGCUUCUGGCCUGCUGCAUGGUGGGACUCCACCUGGCUGGUUCCAGCCCCAUCUGCCCCCACUUCUGCUGCCUGUGCAUGGUGUCCAGGAAGAACUGGGGCCCAGGACGGAAGAAAUGGGAAGAAUGUCAGGGUGUGUACAUCACCCAGAAGUACAAAUGUUCCUUGAAAAUUCUGAGCUGCUCUGUCCUGAGCUCCAAGAAACUUGCAGCUGUGCUGAAUUAUGUGUGGCCACGGCGACUAAGGAGUCACAGCUAAGAAUGUACUGAGACAGGGCCAGCUUCUCAGAUUGCAGAACUGAUAGCUCAGAUCCUGGAGCUGUGACAGCUGCACCCACAGGGUCCUCCUGCUUUGGCCUCUCCCAUGCAUAUCUUAGCCAGGAAUCUUUCCAGAUUCUAGUUGCUAGAGGCAAAAGUCUCAACCCCAAAUGGCUUAGCAAAGGGAAUGUAUUGAUUUGUGUGAUGAAAAGUCUAGAACAAAGUUCAAUUUCAGGUGUGGCUUGAUCCAGCAGCUCAACACUAUUGCUGAGAACCAGGAUUCUCCGUGUAUGUUUGCAGUUCCGCCUUCAUCCUGAGACCCCAACAUGCUUCUGGCAGCUUCUAAGGCUGCAAGCUUCAUGAUUCGCCUCCAGCAAGAGAAAGCUUUGCACCAGCAUCCCAGCCGAAUGCUCAUGCUCCACCCUGAUGGGCCUAGCUGGGGUCGUGUGUCCACUUCCAAACAGUCACUGGCCAGGAGGAUAGAAUGUGCUGACUGGGUGCCCUGGGCUCCAAGCUCCAGCCCUGAGGCCCCUGUGGACUCAGUUUCCCCGGACUGCGAGGACCCCUAGCAGAAGACCAAGGCGUUGGGCACGGAGGGCAAGGUAUUGAGAGCCUUGCCUCAAACCGGUGCUGUGUGGCUGCGCUUCCAUGGUCCCGAGGGACCGGGAGACUCUUCCUGUGUGAUCGGAGUUGUUCCCACGUGUCCCCAGGCCCAGCCAGUUGCCGACAGCCGGAGUGGUACCAACACUGGUGACCGACUGGUGGGCGUUACCAGCUUCCCACACUGGGCUGCUUCUCUCCUGCAAGACGGGGCAGUGUGAGGGUCGGGGCGGGGAGGGCGGGGGGAGAGAAGGGCCUGGGCUACGGGGGCACUGAGACAUCUCCCCACCCCAUCCCUGCCCAGGAAAGGGGGGCAGGGCUUGUGCAGAGGCAUAUAAACUGUUGACCUGAUCAGCAGUUUAAAAUGUUGUUUCAGGCCGGGUGCGGUGGCUCAC